UAAUACGUAGGGUGCUAGCGUUGUCCGGAUUUAUUGGGCGUAAAGGGCUCGUAGGCGGCUUGUCGCGUCGGGAGUGAAAGCCCGCUGCUUAACGGCGGGUUUGCUUUCGGUACGGGCUGGCUGGAGUGCGGCAGGGGAGACUGGAAUUCCUGGUGUAGCGGUGGAAUGCGCAGAUAUCAGGAGGAACACCGGUGGCGAAGGCGGGUCUCUGGGCCGUUACUGACGCUGAGGAGCGAAAGCGUGGGGAGCGAACAGGAUUAGAUACCCUGGUAGUCCACGCUGUAAACGUUGGGCGCUAGGUGUGGGGCCUGUUUCCACGGGUUCCGUGCCGCAGCUAACGCAUUAAGCGCCCCGCCUGGGGAGUACGGCCGCAAGGCUA
rnacentral:rRNA from 1 species